UUCUGCUAUCACUUGACGAUCUUUCAACUACUAACCAUGCCUACAAGUUUUACUUCUGCUGCCUUGCUUACAUUGUAUCUUGUGUUGGUAGCACCUUAUUUUUAUAUACUUGUACAAUCCAGUAGGAGUUGUUGGUGGUGUUGCUGCCUUGGAGGCUUGGACUAUGCUCCAUGUUGGCAUGCCAGCUUUGGCACCACGGCCGCUCCCUGUGCUUCUUCACACAUGUCUUCUAUGCAGGGCUGCAAAAAAAUUAGGCUUUCCUGUCACAAGACAUUAUCUGCUCCUUCCAGUGGAGCCCUACUGGAGGCGUCUUCGGAGAUAUUUUUUUUGAAUGGUUUCAGACAGAGUUAUAUCAGCAAAGUAAGAUCUUUUUAUCCAAAUUUAUCUCGCUUCUCUGAAUCUGCCUGCCUCUCCUCAAAAUCCUUUUCGUUCUGUUCUUUUACCUCUGUUUUCAUUUCCCCUUUGUUCUAACCCAGUGUUCACGUUAUUAGUUCUUGCUGACGACAAUUCAGGAAAUUUGUUCAUGUAUUGUAGUGCACGUUUGUGAUUUGGAUUAUUUUCCGGGUAAGCAAACGUACCAAACUUCUUGAUUUGUACUUGGGUCACCUGAUUUUUUUCAUUGUGUCUAUCUCAAUGCAUGUUCUGUACAUGUUUUAAGAUGGGUGUUGAACUGAUCUCAAUCCAUAGGGUAAAACCAUAGUUCAUGACAUCUAUUUAGUUUGAUUGCAUAUAUUUUAUUUUAGUUUGCUUGGAAAAAUGUUGUAGUUUCAGUUUAGGCACAGCUUAGUUCACCAAUAACUGUCAGGUCUUAUUCUAAUGCAUGACCUUCUAUGUUUAUAUAGACUUUUCACUGUUUCACUUUUUGUUGGUUGCUUAAGUAGGCAGAAAUUUUCUUGCGUGAAGUGCAUGCUUUGCACCAUGUACUCUCUUAUUGGAUUGCCAGCAUGCCGUCCGCUAGGUGCAGCCGUGCAGACCCUGGAUUUCCUGUUUGACUUUUGAAUGCAUGCAUGCAUCUACAAUUAAGUGUCAUUGAAUUAUAUACAUUAUAUAUAUCCCUGCCUAGAAAUAAAUCCAUUUCACGUUUGAAUUAGCAACCUAAGCUUGGUUCCUGCAUCCUGUUGUCUUUCUACGUGAUAUACAUGUCUCCUUGCUGAAGCAUGUUCCUUUUUCUGCAAGGAUUAAGGAACCAUUUAUUGGCAUGUUUGAUGUUCGGUCUCUAACUAUAUAUCGGGUGUGGCUUAAAAUGGCGUGUUCUGUGCCUUCUCAUUGAACUGUUCUAUAGGGUGUUCAAUUUUACAAUUUUCUAGGUUCUAACGUAUUCAACAUUUCUGGUUGCCGUUAUUUUCAGAAUUAGGCUUGCUAAUUUGUUUUCACACACUCUUGGGUAUGUUGUCAAUCUGUAUGAAUUUUGGCUUACUGAUUCUGUAGGGCUUUGAUUUAACAAGUCUAUUAUGUUUUUGCUGUUGUUCUUAGUGGCGAGAAAAACUUUAAUAUAAUAAUCAUGUGCGAUAUGCUUUUGUGGCCUAUGCUGAUUCAAAUUUUGUUUUAGUCAUUCAUAGGCGUAGGCAGCCGAAGGUUCAGGCGGGCGGAUCAGAAGAAAGCUUGAAUUAAAAGUAGGUAGGAUAAAGAUUUUAUAAACUCUUGGCUUGACAUUGUCUACUUAUUAUGAACGAUCUCUAUCUAUGAAAUGUUCAUGUUUUCUUGGUGCCGUGAUCUCUAAAGAUUAUGUUGUGACAAUGCCAAGCCUUUCGAAAUGAUGGUUUUAUCAUUCGUUCCUUGCUUUUGUUGCCCUUGAAAGAAUUUAUGACUGUUACCUAUUGUAAUAUAUUCCCAUAUAUUUCUCUGGUUGUAUAUACACAUUUGUUACUCCGUUUGUAUUUUUUUCUGGUUCACCAUGUGUUGCAAAAUCUAAGAAAAAUAUUAGUAUCAUUUUUCUGCAUAUACACGAGUUCCAUGUGUUGCCUUACUUGAUUUUUGUGUUGUUUAUUCCUUUCGCCGAGGGUGCACUUUGUUUAUGAAUAAAGCACACAAUGAUUUUGGCAUAUAGCUUGAGGCCUUGAGGGUCUGGAGGAAGUAGAAGAAAUAAUUAACCAGUGGCUAAAUUAUCUCCCCUACCUCCAGACAUUUAUAGGUUCCUAAGGAGCAUAUACAUUGUCUAUUAUGAAAGUUAUUAGGCGUAUGUGCCGCACCAUAUGGGCAGUGGUAGCUAUUUCCUGUAUUCUCCUUAAAUUUGUAUGGGUGUCCUCAAGCAUUAUUUUAAUUUUAACUUUGCUUGCGUAUAUGCUAACAUAUGAGAUAUACAUGGAGUUUUAGCUAAAUUGAGAUUUAAGUUAUAUUUACUUUGCAAUUUCUGUAGUUUAGUCAUUAGUAUACUUACCUUGGUUCAGAUAUAAUGUGAAGGGUUUUUUUUUUGCUAUGCAAUUUUGGUGAUCUGAUAUCUACAGAUUCUGGUUACAAUGAUAACCCUCAUUAGUUCGAAUAUAAUGUGCAGGGUAUAUUUAUUUGCUAUGCACUUGUGGUGCUCUAAUAUCUACAGAUUCAGCUUACAAUGACAACCUGGUUGACCAUGCCAGUAAGAUCAAAGCGACAAGUUUAAGGAGACAUUGUGUGGCAUAUAUGACUACGUUUGAUAGAGCCUGUGAAGAAAGAUGAAGUGGUGGCCACUGGUCAACAACGUCUGCUGCAAGGGUUGUGA